rnacentral:lncRNA from 1 species
GCCAGGGAUAAAAGGCGUUCGUAAUGAAUGUUUUUCUCUCUUGAACUCUGGGGUUGGGCAGGGCAGGAGGGCACAUGACUAUUUGAUGGGGAAGGUAAAGCCAAGGAGGCUUGAGGUGGGACCCGUGGUCGCUACAGAGUCCAAGGGAGGCCUCUUCGAGACUCCAGGGCCAAGGUGUCCUGCCACCAAGGAAUGCUGGUCGCCGCCAGGGAAGGUGGCUCACCCCACCUCCAUGUCCCACUUUCCCCCUUUCUUACCCAACCUCCUCCCCUCCCCAGCUGCAGGGGAUCCUCUCCUUACCCUGAUUUCAUUUGGGGCAAGGGGGGCAAGGACCUGCCCCACCUUUUAUGUCUAUCCUGUGGGCUGCUGUCUGCAAGUUUGGAGCCUGAAAAGGUUGGGGGGCAAGAGAGUGAGUUGGAGGUGGGUGAAUUCUCAGCUGGAAACCCUUUGCUAUUUUUAGAGUGACUUAGGGAAUGGGCAGGUGAGAGGUUGCUUGCAGCCACCUAAGUGGACUUUGAGAAGGAAGAUGGCAUGGCAGGCCGUGGACCACCUGGAUAGGAUUAAAACAAAACAAAAACAAGCAAACAAACAAAAAAAAACCCUACCUCAGCUAGAAUGGAAGCUCCACUAGAGCAGGGUUUUUUUCUUUUUUUCUUCAUGACUGUAUUCCCCUAUCCUUGACACAUGAAUGUGCCAUUUGCUGAGGAUAACAUGAUUGUCUUCUGUUAAAACCAGAAAUAACACUGCUUUUUCCAUUUGUGGUUGAUGUCGGUAUCAAUUUUAGCUGUUGUUUUACAGCGGGGAAAUCAUUCACCUUUUGCAGCUAUCAGAGAAACCGAGAAUGUAUGGAGCAGGGCGUGUCUAUCCACAACACCCUCAAGGCUGAAUACAGUUGGGGAGACCAGACGCUGCCAGACGUCACAUGCAUUUUUUUAAAGUUUCCCAGAAGUGCUUGGAUAUUUCUGCCCCUUAAUUCCCAUUCCUUGGGGAGUACAUUGAUGGGUUAAUAAAAAAUGCCUGCAGGUGGAGCUUGACCAAACACUUGUAGUGAAAAUACAUGGGAAGAAAAGGAGUGCUUUGUCCAACUCUGUUCUAGCCCAUUUCAUGGUCUGGUUGAUUCUUUUGGUAGAUGCUGAACACUGGAAAAAUCCUGCAAGGAUUGAAGAAUUUCCAUUUUAGGCUGGGCGUGGUGGCUCAUGCCUGUAAUCCCAGCACUUUGGGAGGCUGAGGUGGGCGGAUCACGAGAUCAGGAGUUUAAGGCCAGCCUGACGAAUAUGGUGAAAUCCCAUCUCUACUAAAAAUACAAAAAUUAGCCAAGUGUGGUGGCACACGCCUGCAAUCCUAGCUUCUCAGGAGGCUGAGGCA